rnacentral:ribozyme from 1 species
UUUUUUUUUUUUUUUUUUUUUUUUUUUUUUCUUC